rnacentral:misc_RNA from 1 species
UUUCCGUAGGCGAACCUGCGGAAGGAUCAUUACAGAGUUCAUGCCCUCACGGGUAGAUCUCCCACCCUUGAAUAUUUAUACCUUAGUUGCUUUGGCAGGCCGUGGAAACACCAUGGGCUCCGGCUUAUGCGUGCCUGCCAGAGGAAACAAACUCUGUUUUCAGUGAUGUCUGAGUACUAUAUAAUAGUUAAAACUUUCAACAACGGAUCUCUUGGUUCUG